rnacentral:rRNA from 1 species
UACGUAGGGUGCGAGCGUUAAUCGGAAUUACUGGGCGUAAAGGGCGCGUAGGCGGCCGCCUAAGUCAGACGUGAAAUCCCCAGGCUUAACCUGGGAACUGCGUCUGAUACUGGGUGGCUUGAGUUCGGGAGAGGAAUGUGGAAUUCCAGGUGUAGCGGUGAAAUGCGUAGAUAUCAAGAGGAACACCUGAGGUGAAGACGGGUUGCUGGUCUAACACUGACGCUGAGGCGCGAAAGCCAGGGGAGCAAACGGG